GGAGGGCUAAGGGCUGCCUUCUAUCGUGCCAUUUCCUAUUUAAACAAAGGCUUUGUGCUGUGAUACCACUAGGCGUUUAUGUUCACUCUGACCCCAGAAUCCUUUCUUCUCUCUUCAUGUGUUGUGCUUUGUAGUCUGUAGCCUCAGGUAGUCUGGUUAGUUCAGUGGUUUGGAGCUCAGCACCGAUAAGAUCAAAAUCCUUUGCUGAAACUGUUAAAGAAAAAAUUUUUCAAUGAUACUUGUCAAAGCACUGUAAGGAGAAGAUCCAGCUGCAUAUAUAAUUGUGCACUCCUGAGG
rnacentral:lncRNA from 1 species